rnacentral:rRNA from 1 species
UACGUAGGGUCCGAGCGUUGUCCGGAAUUAUUGGGCGUAAAGGGCUCGUAGGCGGCUUGUCGCGUCUGCUGUGAGAUCCCGAGGCUCAACCUCGGGCCUGCAGUGGGUACGGGCAAGCUAGAGUGCGGUAGGGGAGAUUGGAAUUCCUGGUGUAGCGGUGGAAUGCGCAGAUAUCAGGAGGAACACCGAUGGCGAAGGCAGAUCUCUGGGCCGUAACUGACGCUGAGGAGCGAAAGCAUGGGGAGCGAACAGG